rnacentral:lncRNA from 1 species
UUAGGUUGGCAGUCUGAGCCCCUUUUUGUGCUCCUUCGUAGCUAUGUUUCCCAUUUUUUCUUUUGCCAGGGCAGCUCCGCUAGUGAUAGCAGCAGUGGAAACCCUGGUGCAAACCCUGGUGCGAAGGUUUCUUUCAUCACUGGUGAUUUUCCCAGCGUGACCUGCCGGUCUUGCUGCCCCCGUUGCACUCACCCAGUUAGUCUGCCAGGGGCCGCUGGGGCCRGCUGCUCAGAGGGUGGCAGCACGGUCCUCAAGGCACCGCUGUGGCAAUGCCGGCGCGUCCCCCUCGCAACACCGUCCCCUGGCAGAGGUGUCCUUAACGCUGCCUUCCACGUCUCCUGUGCAGGCACAUCCCCUCCCUGGCUGUCUCCUGGGCAACCCAAACCAGGGAGGCUGCCCCUCACAACUGCACCACGCUCCUGCUCAGCUGCAGAAAGGCAGUGGCUGCGGGCCAGGCCAGCAGGCGCUCGGAGACCUUGCCACGUCCACAGGCGGACCUUGAACAGGGCAGUGCUGCAACCCUGCCGUGCUCCGAACGCAGAUGGUGCCGUGGGCCAGUGGCUGCUGCGUUGCCCCCCUGUGUGUCCGUGCUCACCAGCGGUGUCUUGCAGAUGUGACGGGCUGGGCCACUAUGCCAGCAUCAGGCCGACUCAAUUGACACAAUCGCCUGAAAAGCCAGCUGUAAAAAACAAGGGAAAUGAGACAAAGGAUUAGGCUUACAGCACAACUGGAAAACCACUGUGCACCAAAGAGAGGCUAAGGAGUGAGGAUCUGAAUUUCUGCAAAUUAUCUCAGAAAAGGCCUAAGUCUUGCAGGUUUCCACCAGAAGUCUGUGUCUGGGCAACAGCCUAGAACCAAGGAGAUCGAGCAUCCCCGCUGACUCUUCAUGUUUUGCAGCCUUCCCCCCCCCCCCCAUCAGUAUGAUCUAGUCACUGGAUCUUGGUUCAGGAGAUGAUGGUCCUGGCUUUGCCAUUGAAUUGCUGGGUUCCUUGUGAAUAGCCAUGUAACCUAGCUGUGUUUCUCCUUUCACCUUUUAUCCAUUUUAUCUGUGGAGAUGUAAUCUCAAUCCAAAGAGGUUGUCUCUUACUAUAAGUUUUUCAAGAGCAAUUGAAGCCUACAAGUGCACCAUCAAAUACAGCAAGAUUAACUGAUACUUGAUCCACACUUGUCUGGAGCGUUCACAUUUAGUAGCUGUUCUACAUGUGGGGCUGCCUUGCGUUAGCUGGUCUUAUUACUCC